rnacentral:lncRNA from 10 species
GUGGUGGUCGCGGUGGGUCCCAGCUCCGGGAGGGGACGCCCUGGGACGCGGAGGGGCGCGCGGGCGUGGGGGCCGUGGCUCAGCCCCCCUUCCUCUCGCUCCCUCCGCCUCCCUGGGCGCCCCCUCGCCCCCUUCCUCUCGCGUCCCCGGGUUCUCGCCCCUUCUUUCCUGAUGCCUGCCUGAUUUUCUGGAAAGACCGACACCCCCAGUCGCCCCCACCGCGGCUCCCGGUUCCUUCCCCUGCAGAGCAGACGGGGGCUGGAGUAGGGGCCAACAUGGGUGACAUGGGUGGACCGGCAGGGCGGUCCCUGGGGUGCCCUUUAACUCUUUCUGUGCCACAUCCCCGGUCUCUGGCCAGUCCUGUCGCGCUAAGGCCCCUCCAGCAGCGCUGACCCUGGUCCCCCACCUGCUGGUCCUGCGGCCGCGGGGCGCUCUCUCCUCCGUCCCACCCGCUCCUUCCACACCACCUCCUUUCCUGGGAGUGGAGAAGCCCCAGCCAGAACCCCUGCCUUCCCCAAGAGGCACGCUCAGAGGGACAUUCUCCCCUUCCUCACUCCCCCUAGAGCCACAUCACACCUGGCUUUGGGGCCCUAGAACCUCAGCCCGCGCCCCUCCCCUUCCACCCCCAGCCAUCCCUGCUCUGUGCCCAGUGAUCUUGGGGUCACCACAACCCCAUGGCGCCUUGAGGCCUCACCUUUCCUGGCCUCUCAGCAUCCUGGGACACUGAUGGUCAUGCCUUCCUUCUAGAAAGUUCUCUCCGAGGCUGUGGCUUCCAGGAUGAGCACUCUCCUCCUCCCACUUCCUCCCCUUCUCCUUCCCCCUCCUCCCUUCUCCCUGGAGAGGUCUUCCUCCAAGUCCCAGUCUUCUUCCCCACCCAGAGCCCCUCCCGCUGACACUUGUCUGCAGUGCCUGUCUCCGCUCCCGCUAGGAAGCCUCCCCUCCGGCAUCUCCAAUCCAUCUCUGGGUCCUGCUCCACCUGCAUUUCCCUAGACCUGUCCUGGCCACCCUCACCCUGGGACACCUCCUGCCCGUGGAGAGCUCCUCUGAUAGGUGCCGUCCUUGGUCUUGGGGGUCCUUUCUCCCUAAUUCUACUUCUGUUUUGGGGGCGUGGGAACCCAGGGUCUUAACCCCAGCCAUUCCCCCUCCCAGGGGCCACUUCCCUCUGAAGCUUAGCCCAGCUCUGUGACCCCCACAGGCCUGCCCCCACCUGGUCCUCACUCCCCUGCAUAGCCACACUGUGGGGGCUCCAUGCUUCCCAGCCCAUAGGAAGCCCUGUUCCCAGAGGGGGCCAUUCUGUUUUAGUUGGAGCAGUGGCCAGAGGCAAAGGUCAGAAGGCAAAGGUCAUAAAAGUUUGUCUCUACCUGCCAGCAUCUGCUCCUGCUACUGCAUCUUCUCCCCUCUCCACCCAAACCCUCCCUCAGCUCCUGCCCCCACCUCUCCAGAGGCACAGACAACAGGGUUCUGAUCUUGGGUCAUGGUGCUCCCCCUGCCAGCCUCAGUCCGAGACCUCUGUGAAUGGCGGUGAUGGCUAAUGGGAUGAGGGGGACCACCUCCUGGUGGCUGCAGGGACUGGGGUGAGGGUGCUGUAGGCUCUGCCUAAGUCAAGUGCCAUGGGGCUGAAGAGACGGCGCACCGGCCCUGGAGAAGAGUCCUCCCUGCCCUCCUGUGUCUGGCCUUGUUUCCUGGAGGACAGGUCCCCACGGGGCAGAGGCCCAGCAGUCCCAGAUUCAGCAAGAACUCUGCUAAGUCAGUUUGGCAAGAAGCCUCCAUCCCCCCAUAUCUGAUCAGGGUCCUCAGCCUCCGCCACCCCCAGGCGAUGUCUGCUUACCUUGCCUGCCUUCAGCAAGCUUCCUUUUACCUGGGUUCCUUAGCCUCUGCCACCUCCAGGCCGUGUCUGCUAACCCUGUCUGCCGUCAGCAAGCUUCGUUUUACCUGGGUAGGUUCCUUAGCCUCUGCCACCUCCAGGCCGUGUCUGCUAACCCUGUCUGCCGUCAGCAAGCUUCAUUUUACCUGGGUAGGGUUCUCAGCCUCCGCCACCCCCAGGCGAUGUCUGCUAACCCUGCCUGCCCUCAGCAAGCUUCCUGUUUCC